GUGCUUGCUUUGGCAGCAUAUAUUCUAAAAUUGGAAUGAUAGAGACAAAAUUAGCAUGGUCCCAACACAAAAGUAAGACACAAAUUUGUGAAGCAUUCCAUAUGGGG
rnacentral:snRNA from 1 species